rnacentral:lncRNA from 1 species
GAACGCUGCCUGACCCUCAAGGCUCCAUUCUGGGCCCUCCUCCUCCAGGAAGACCCCCGGGCUAUCCCAAGACAGGCCAUCAGUCAUGACUCCUUGGGUAUUGGGCCAGAGUCCAGCCUCUGCUGACAGCAGAUUGGGGCCAGCCCUUGCUCUCAGCCCAGCUACCAAGAAAGAAAAGCGGCCCCUGGUGGCCAGGAGCUGGCGGCCACAGCUGGACCCUGGUGUCAUUCACAACACCACUCUCUGACCACUCUGUAAAUGACCAUCAUUCCUGCCUUCUCGAUGAGAACUCCUAUGAUACCGACUCUUAGAAUGCUGAUUCUAAGCCAGCCUCCCGCUGUCAUCUAACCCAGAGCAAAGCCUGUUUCCUCAAACCCUUUCCCAAAUCCCCUAACACCAGCUUGAAUCUGUGAAGUCCUUUCCCACACACUCUUUCUGGGAUGCCCCGCAACUCCCAUGGUUGCAUCCCCCUUACUACAACGAGUCAAUAAACCCAGAAUAACUCCA